AAUCAACGCUGGCGGCGUGCCUCAGACAUGCAAGUCGAACGAUUAAAGCUCUCUUCGGAGAGUGUAUAGAGUGGCGCACGGGUGAGUAACACGUAAGUAAUCUACCUUUGAGUGGGGAAUAACAUCGGGAAACCGAUGCUAAUACCGCAUAAUGCAGCGGCAUCGCAAGAUGACAGUUGUUAAAGAUUUAUCGCUUGAAGAGGAGCUUGCGGCAGAUUAGCUAGUUGGUAAGGUAAUGGCUUACCAAGGCUACGAUCUGUAACCGGUCUAAGAGGACGGUCGGUCACACUGACACUGAAUAACGGGUCAGACUCCUACGGAGGCAGCAGUCGGGAAUUUUGGGCAAUGGGCGAAAGCCUGACCCAG
rnacentral:rRNA from 1 species